ACUAGACUAGACAGCAUAAUCGUUUUUCCAUAUCGCUUACUUCAACUAUCAGCGGCGUGAGCGGAGCGAAAUCUGAACGUAGGAUGACGUCGCCACCCCAUAAUAUAAGGCGGACAUCCGUGUAAAGAUUGUCUAAAUUGAAACCAGUCUCUGGCAAGUAUUUUCCUCCCAUCCGGAGAGCAUACGCGGUGUACUCGUCUCUGGCCGUCGAGAAGAUCGACCUCCGUGAAAGACUUGUCCGCAGCCUUGUCCAAAGUCCUGCACUCUGAACCGGCAAAGCAGUGCCAGUAUAUUCGAAAACGUAGAUCUCUUCGUCUCGGUUCCGCGUCCAUAUCACUGGUAUCGACUGAAUAACUCUUGACCAUGGCAACAAACAACCGUCAUGCCUAUAAAAACAAUUUAUCAAUCAUUUCUAGUACCACAUAAUUACCAUAAUAAUAAAAAUAUAACACUGUUUAUUUUCUAUAUUUAUUUACUACUCCGAUCAACAGUUAGUUAUAUAAUAUUAACAACUCUUUUGGUACUUUUCAUUGUUGAUUUACAAAUACUUCGUGAUUAGCGUACAACAAUGUUCCAGAUAUCUCGACCGGAAGUAUAUGAGAUUUUCGACCAUCGGCAAGAGAACCCACCUAAGACCAGGAAAUACGACGAAUGUAGGUUGAAUUUCGGAUAUUUUCUUCGCAAUUUGCUCGUCCUUCAAGAAAGCCUCGCAAAUCUGAAUCGCUUUGCUCUCAGGAUACGCGGACUUCGUUAUUUCGACAGUCAGCAAUACCAGUUCCACUCCGAUUAAAUUUUCGUGGAGAUCAUUUUGAUAUUGCUCCGGUAUGAUCAGUGUCGCGUCGAUUCCUUCAUCCGACAAAGUAUUGGCUAAUAAUGACAAAUCAUAGACAUCCUCGAAUGCAACGACCACUACCGAUUGCGGAGGUUCAGUCAAGGUCGAACCAUGAAUUGUACGUAUUAAACAAAGCCACGCGCAGAAUUCGACAAGCGCGAACAUUAUGAGCGGACGAUGGUAAUAAAUCGGUAAAAAUAAAA